rnacentral:rRNA from 1 species
AACGAACGCUGGCGGCAGGCCUAACACAUGCAAGUCGAGCGAAGCCUUCGGGCUUAGCGGCGGACGGGUGAGUAACGCGUGGGAACGUGCCCUUUGGUACGGGAUAGCCCCGGGAAACUGGGAGUAAUACCAUAUGUGGUCGAGAGACGAAAGAUUUAUCGCCAAAGGAUCGGCCCGCGUUGGAUUAGGUAGUUGGUGGGGUAAUGGCCUACCAAGCCGACGAUCCACAGCUGGUUUGAGAGGAUGAUCAGCCACACUGGGACUGAGACACGGCCCAGACUCCUACGGGAGGCAGCAGUGGGGAAUCUUAGACAAUGGGGGAAACCCUGAUCUAGCCAUGCCGCGUGAUCGAUGAAGGCCUUAGGGUUGUAAAGAUCUUUCAGUGGGGAAGAUAAUGACUGUACCCACAGAAGAAGCCCCGGCUAACUCCGUGCCAGCAGCCGCCGUAACAC